UGAGUCAAAAGUGAGUACGGU
rnacentral:piRNA from 1 species